GCUCAUGCUCCUGUGGUGUAGAAAGACAUGGGAGUUGGAUUUCAAAGAGGUAGUUCAAGUCCUGGUUCUGGGCGACCUGGGGCAGGUGUCUUCCCUUCUCUGGGCCUUGGUUUUCUCUCCAUCAAAAAGAGGGAGCAGGACCAGAAUCCAGAGGAUAUCAGAAUUCCCUUCUAGCUCUAAAGUCCCAGGUGUUAGGUUCGGAAUUUCAUUUGUUACGCAGUUCUUGGGACUGCCACAAGAGGUCAGCAGCAGCCGAGGAAACAUCCAUCUCCAGACAAGCCUAGCCCCGUGUUGCCUGAUAAAUAGGUGCCCACGGAGAGCCUGAGGACGCUUGGCGUCAGGGAGGCGGGCCGGGGAAGCCACGCUGACGAUGGGGCUGUAGACAAUCUAGUCUGGCCGGCGGCUGUCGCUCCACCAGCACUGGGCACCAUGUUUUCUCCUCUGCGUUCCUCCAUACUCCUCUGUGAAGCAAAUGGGCCAGAGAAGGACCCAGACGAUACGGGAUGGCCACGCCCAGGCCCACGCAACCUCAACAAAGGCCAAACAUGUUCGACUUGAGCAACAAAUCAGUUUUACAUGUAUUCACCAGACCUGUGAUUAUGUGGUGAGGAACUGCCUCUAUCCAUGCCAAUUGGAAUCUUCUCUACCACUUAUAGUUAGGGAGUUGUUUGAGACACCAAGGGGCCUCUGAUGAUAGCUGGUAGAAGACUCUCAAGAGGACAAAAUCCCAGUGUGGAC